rnacentral:lncRNA from 1 species
AUACAUAAAUUCCAAUUACCUUGUUACUUUCAUAUUUAAGCAAUUUAGAUUUUUUUUGUAAGCCCCAAUCUUAAUUAGUGAGUGUUAAUAAGCUGUAAAAUUUAAUCCAAUCAUCCACUUAAUGUAAAAUUUUGCAUACAAUUGUCCAUAUAAGUCUUCUAUAUGUUCAAGAAUUUUUAGCCAAAUCCAACUUACAAAUUAUGAGAAAACUUCCAAAAAUUGCACUGAUGCUACUUGGCCACCAACUUGAAAAAUAAAGUAAAAAUCCUAGUAGUAAUUUCUCCCUUUUCAACCGUUAACUUUGACUCAAAAUUGGUGUGCAACUUGAUCUUUAAGUCUUUUAAGACCAAGCCAAAUUUCACCUUGAUCCGACUAAUAGAUCUCUAGAUAUUAUAGAAACCCUACCCAACCUCAAACCACCAACUUCCAAAACCCUCUUAUGCUAAAAACUAGAUAUCUCUAAACCACAUUGUUAGAUUAUUACAAAAUUUUGUAUAUGCUUAGCACACCCAAUAAUCCAAAUAAUGUCAAAUUUUUAACUGUAGAUGUUAUAUUAAUUGCACAAACUAGCCAAAAUUACUAGUCCUAAUUAUAUUUUAUAAAAUCCAAAUCACCAAUACAAAUCUUGACUUUUAACAACAAUUUCUAAGACUUCAAAAAUUCUCAAAAUAAAAUCUUCAUGCCUCUAAAAAUAACUUCAAGCUGGCUCUCAAAUCUUAUCCUCCGAUCUUUGAAUGAAUCCCUAUUUUACACUAGGCUAUCAUUUUUGUGGCCAGAGGUCUAAUUUCGACCUUGUCUCACAAACAGCUAAACUUCGGAUAUAAAUCUAACCUAUUCUAACGAUUUUUUAGCCCAACCUUACUUUCAACUUAACCUUAAUAUGAACUAUACCAAUUAUUUAUCUCUUCUAAUCUG